CAAUAGCGUAUAUUUAAGUUGCUGCAGUUAAAAAGCUCGUAGUUGGAUUUCGGGUGGGAAUGGCCGGUCCGCCGUUUCGGUGUGCACUUGCUACGCCCACCUUGCUGCCGGGGACGUGCUCUUGAGUUCACGCUCGGGACACGGAGUCGGCGAGGUUACUUUGAGUAAAUUAGAGUGUUCAAAGCAGGCCUACGCUCUGAAUACAUUAGCAUGGAAUAACACGAUAGGACUCUGGCCUAUCUUGUUGGUCUGAAGGACCGGAGUAAUGAUUAAGAGGGACAGUCGGGGGCAUUCGUAUUUCAUUGUCAGAGGUGAAAUUCUUGGAUUUAUGAAAGACGAACUACUGCGAAAGCAUUUGCCAAGGAUGUUUUCAUUAA
rnacentral:rRNA from 1 species